rnacentral:rRNA from 1 species
CCAACCCGAUGAACUAAGCAUGCGAGUCAUUGUAGCAAUACAAGGCAGACGGCUCAGUAACGCGUAGUCAACCUACCCUAUGGACGGGAAUAACCUCGGGAAACUGAGAAUAAUGCCCGAUAGAACAUUAUGCCUGGAAUGGUUUGUGUUUGAAAUGAUUUAUCGCCGUAGGAUGGGACUGCGGCCUAUCAGUUUGUUGGUGAGGUAAUGGCCCACCAAGACUAUUACAGGUACGGGCUCUGAGAGGAGUGGCCCGGAGAUGGGUACUGAGACACGGACCCAGGUCCUAUGGGGCGCAGCAGGCGAGAAAACUUUGCAAUGUGCGAAAGCACGACAAGGUUAAUCCGAGUGGUUUCUGCUAAAGAGACCUUUUGUUAGUCCUAGAAACACUGAUGAAUAAGGGGUGGGCAAGUUCUGGUGUCAGCCGCCGCGGUAAAACCAGCACCUCAAGUGGUCAGGAUGAUUAUUGGGCCUAAAGCAUCCGUAGCCGGCUAUGUAAGUUUUCGGUUAAAUCUGUGCGCUUAACGUACAGGCUGCCGGGAAUACUGCAUAGCUAGGAAGUGGGAGAGGUAGACGGUACUCGGUAGGAAGGGGUAAAAUCCUUUGAUCUAUUGAUGACCACAUGUGGCGAAGGCGGUCUACCAGAACACGUUCGACGGUGAGGGAUGAAAGCUGGGGGAGCAAACCGGAUUAGAUACCCGGGUAGUCCCAGCUGUAAACUAUGCAAACUCAGUGAUGCAUUGGCUUGUGGCCAAUGCAGUGCUGCAGGGAAGCCGUUAAGUUUGCCGCCUGGGAAGUACGUACGCAAGUAUGAAACUUAAAGGAAUUGGCGGGGGAGCACCACAAGGGGUGAAGCCUGCGGUUCAAUUGGAGUCAACGCCGGG